ACUGAUGCCAAGUUUUUCCCAGGGAACAAGGCAAAACAGAGGAGGAAAAAACAAAAAAACAAAAAACAAAAACCAGACAUAUUAAAAAACAAAACAAAACUUACCACCUUGACCCAAACAGAACAAAGUUCCAACUGAGCUCCAGCUCAGAAGGGCUCUGCCGCUUGGGAAAACAGAUAAGCACAAAAUAAAGUGUAUUUUAUCUUUAAUCUGAUACUUCUGAAAGGGAGGUGUUUCCCCAGAGCUUCCAAGUGUUGUAAAAGAAAAAUAUUUCAGAGCGAAUCAGUGAUAAUUCACUGUUGGUAACACAGAAAGAAGCAGUGAGCAAAGUUUCCUUAAAGCCUGGGAGAGGGCAGCCAGGGCUGUGUGCUGAUGUAGUGCUGAGAAUGAAAUGAAUGACUUCUCAGAAGUCCCACAUUUAUCACCAGCAGUUCCUGUAAGAACUGGUUUGAACCGAUUAAUAAGGAAAUGACUUGUGCUUGUGUCAUCCCUCAGUUAAAAAAGAAACUGCUCGCCCUAUGACUUGCCCCUAUCUCCUCAAAGGAGACGGCCCCUUUCUCAGACUAAGUCCUUAUUAGGACAAUCUGUGCGUCAUCCUUAUCCAGAAAGAAUGCAUUAGCAAAUUCUGCAGGCUCCUCCCAUCGGUCAGUGAUUAACAAAGGAACAAAGAGAGAACUAUGAACCCUGUUCUGAAUCAUUUCAUGCUUUAUGGCAGAUGACUUGCACAAAAACUGCAAUACAUUACUGAACACCUUGUUCCUAUGUUCACAUUAUAAAGACUGCCAAGAGGUUUUCGGAGCUGUGAAGGCUCUCCGAAGCACAAAGGUGUUAUCGCUGCACAGAGCAGCCACCAACUUCCAACCUGCUAACGCUACCACCCAUCCACAUCCAACACCGAUGAUUUCCCUGCAGAUCUGAACACCACACUAUUAAACAAGAGGACUGAGGAGCAGAAGAAACUGUCAUUACACUUAAAAAACAAAACCAACCAAACUAAAAAAGCUUAAACGUUACACAGCAGAAAUUACCACCAGCAGCAACUGGUGGUAAUACAGCCAGGCACAAGCUGAGCCAUGUCUGUACACCAAUGCUGCUAAUAGCAGCCAAGAUGGGAGAUCUCCCACUGCUGCCAAACAUCAGCUUCUUCUUCUUUUUUUUUUUUUAAUUAUAAAAGAAAUCAAUAUAGUCUUCUACAUUACAAAAGUCACCUAUGAUUCACUGCUGCAGUUCUGAGUCUUUACACCACCACCUCAGGGAGAAGCCAGUAACAUCUGCUUCACUGUGCCACACGCAGACAGGGCUAAAAACCAUCAUCUCCUCUCUGAAUUACAUGAUGGGGGGACCUGGACCCCUCCAACCUUUUACUCCAGCCUCCCAUGUUGACACUGUGUAUAUUUUCCACGUUAAACCCCAAUCAUUAAGUAAGAGCUUUCUAACCUUUAAAACUCACGAAAACGCACAGAGUGAAGCAACAGAACAGCUCACUCUCCCCACUCUAUUCCUAUUCCCUCCACUUGCCAAGAGGACAAAUUGCUUUUUAAACAUAUUUAUCAGAAGAAGACUGUGUCCUCCGUGAUUCACCAUAGGCCAAUACCAACGGCUGAGUAAACGUUGCGCCCAGCCAGUACAUUUCCAGCCAAAAAGAAAGGACCAAAACUAAAGCACAUCGAGGACACAUUUUGCUUUAGAGCAUAUCAACGUCUACAAACAGAUCCCAGCUUUUCGGAACCCACCCUUCAGAAUCUGACUGUGUCCGCGGUGAAACGCUCUCGGAGUGACUCGCCGAUCAGUACGAGUCACCGCUGGAAAGAGCGGUUACGUCUCAGGGUUUCUUUCCUUUUGCAAAUGGAAGCCCAGGAAAGAUCUUAAAAGCAGCUCAGAGGAGCGACUGGAAUCAGCCCCUCCAUAAGUGGAAGGGAAAUCAGAGAGAUGAUGACUGAAGCCAUGGCAAACAAAGCAUUGGGUUCCCAGGCUGAAACCCCAAAGCCCUGACUGGGAAGGUGAUGCAGCACUGAGUCACAACCCCACUUGGUGGAUCAUCUAUCAGAUCCACAGCUUUAUUUGGAAAACCCCUUUAACUCAAGGCUGAUGUUCCCAGACCCUUCAGCUUCCAGGAGGGCACUGUCCUUGCCUGAGCCCUGUUGGGGUCUGCAGACACAACGUGGUGUCACAUUCUGCUCAGAUUCAGCUAAGUGGGCUCAUCCCACUAAGGAAAAACAGCCUUUUGGGAAAUGCCAGCGCUACAGCACAAAAUGAAGACAACAGAAAACACAGCUAACAGGGAAAUUUCACGGCAUGCUCGGUCAGCACGAGAUGCACACAUUGGUAUCUCAUCCUGCUGUACGAGCAGCAUGGCCUGAGGCCAGAGAUAUCUCCUGCUACAAAGACGUGGCAGUGGAGAAUGCAGGGAGCUGAAGGAGAGAUUCGAGCUUGACCUUCCCCUGUAGGAACACAAAAUCCAUCCCAAAAAGCACCGAGGCACUGUGUAGGAGGCACCACAUAUGGUUACUUCAGCCAUUCUUCCCCUCAAAGAAACCAGAAGUUUUGCUCAAAUACGGCAUCAACUUCUUCAAAAAUUGUAUAAAUGCUUGAAAAAUAGAUUGCAGUGGAAAUAUUUAUGCGGCAGUGGACAAUCACCAAAGCCGAUGGAUUUGCAUACUGCCUUUGCUCUCCAAAUAGAGCACCUUUCUUCCUGCAAGUUAUCUGAGCCUUCAAUGGUUAAUGUUCUUCCAGACAGUGAUCUAAACAGGCUUAACGGUUAGUAUUUUAAUGAGCUGUCAUUUCCUGUGCUGAUAAAGAUUCUCACAGUAUUUAAACCAUCCAUUUCCCUGAGGCUCCACCAAUACCCGGACACUGUUGCGGUGACUCACAGCGGACCUCAGACUCCGGGCCUGACUCAGCCCUGAUAGAUUGUGCUGCAGCAGAUCUGGACAGGCUCCCAAGGUGCUCAAAGAGAACGUUCACACACAGCAAAACCUGGGCUUGAAAAGCACGGAGGGAGGAACCUCAGCUCCAGCUCCUUGCUGCCACUUCGACUUCAGAACACUGGAUGAAACUUAGAUGCCACCUGCAUCCAGUGUUCAGAAACAGUGGAAAUACAUCUCCUUUACGGUCAGGACCAAGAGAAACAUUUUAGGGGUUAAAGGGCUGCUUGGCACAUUCAUUUGGUUUUACAAAAUGAAGAAAGAAAACAUUUCACUUGCAGAUUACUAAGCAGCAAUGGUUACACGUUUGACAUCAUUUACCUGGCGCUACGCUCUGGUACCCGCACUGACCAAGGCUGUCUGCAAAGCACUUCUAGGGACGUUCUGUUACGUUAAAAUUAAUGCUUUCAAAAAUAGGAAUUGCAACAUUUUUGAACGACUCGUUCCUAACUCUGCUCAAUGUUGCUCUUUGUAAGGCAGCUUCUGGUUGUACUUUAAAGAUAUAGCGCUAUUUCUGUAUGCGCUUUAUAAAAAACCUUGCUUGUUCAGAGCUAAAUCCUACAAGCCUUCUGCAAAUAAACUUCUUACACUUCUGCUGUGAUCCACUGGAAGGUUUUCAACACCAAAGCUGCUCAAAUUUCCCUUAUAUCCGCGUCCCUUUCAAGAUGCUAAAGCCUUUUUUUUUUUUUUGUGUAGAGCUGAUCUAUUGUACGCAGGGUGUAUUACAGGGCACGGUCCCACAGGUUUCUGAUACACCCAUGGGAGGAAAGCCAUUGCUUUAUUGUCCCAAGAAACAUCAGGUGUGUGGCAAUAUGCUUCCAGAAGCAUUCAGCCCAGGAGAUUUUGAAAUCACUGCUCAGUUAUCCGCGUUCUCGGCCACUUUGGGGUAUUUUCAUUGAUUCCCACUACACCGGUUUUAAUUUAAAUGCUGAUUGGAAACUGUAAUUCAAAAUACCCUUUUGACAAAAACAGGAUAUAGUCAUCGGAUAUGGAAUUUAUGGCAUAUGCAAAACAAAGGCCCACGGGGCCGGAAGGCACGGCUGGCAGAUCUGCUGUGGGGAACACACUGGGGAGCAGCAGAGCUCACCUGGCCGAGCUGAGCUCUCAAUGGGAAGGGGAAUCAUAUGGCACAGUGUGAAUCACAAACAGGACCUCUCCACCUCAGGACAACUGAUCCCUGGUGCAGCCCCUUUCCCAUCGCUGCAGCUCCUUGCCUUGCUUAUAUCCUAAAGAACUCAUCUAAAUCUGUGCUGUAUACAAUUUUUUGACAAAGAAACAACAACAUAAUGACCCUUAAGCAAAGCUUCCAAUUACGUCAGUCACCAUAAUGCCACAUGUACAGAAGGAACAUGGUGCUCCUUACAAGAAUCAACUGAGAUCCAGUUGUGAAGCAAAGAAUUAUGGCACAAUAAAUAGCAGCAAAGUGGUUUGUAGAGGCAGUGCUUCAACAACCCAUUACUGAAAUGUUUUUCCCUUUAAGACAUGCCAUCAUUCACACCAGUCCGCAUCACUGGAGAGCAUAACAAUUUGUUCCCCAAAAACAUCAGAUUAAGAAGCCCUUCAGAAAGUGCUAUUUUCGGGCACCUUUCCAGGUGUGAGUUUGUUGAACUGAAUUUUGCAGUGUUAACAGGGCUUACAUGUCUCACCCCUGGAACACAGCACUAAAAUUUAACUUCUAAAAUACAGCAAGCAUGCAAUUCUGAUUUUUUUUACAUGCAUUUUAAUGGCUUCAAACCAAACUUCAUUAAUUUGUCAGCUACAUGAGUUUUACCAUCAGCAAAGGAUCUGCUACAAACAGCAGCUAUUCCUGCUGCACAGAGAGCUCAACCACUGCACCACACGAACCCAAAGCAGCAGUGACACCUCCCCUCGUGCUCUGUGGGUUCACCCCAAGGAAGCUGUGCCCGAAGGGUGAGGUUUAUCCCGCAGAGAUGGAGCCACACCACUGCCGGUGACGUUCAGCUGCCGUGGGGGUGAAGGCCACGGGGUGCCUGGUGCUAUAUAAAACACAUUGUUGAGCCUUCGAGAUUUCUUUUGAAGCUGUGGAGUUACCAGCUCGUUUUCACAAAAUAUGAACCAACCACGCUCAACUUAAAAGAGAGGAGCAUUUUUCUUAAUAUUUACCCAGAAUUGAUGGCAGACGGCUGUGGGGAUGGUAUGUGUGUUGUGUGCUUCGAGUGCUAUUUCUUUAGUAGUUUUCUGGGAAUUCUUAAUCCACAUUUGAAACUACCACUUCAAAGAAACUAUGACGGUGCUUAGAAGCAAUAGGCUCAGUGUGACUGCACAAACAAUCCUGCAGCUGUAGGUAACGAAAAAAUUAAGAGGAAAGCUUCAAGAGCCCAAAGAAAACCCACAACACACAUGAUGAUUAAACACUAAAUGAGCUAGGUCUGGGCUAAAAGCAGGAUCCAAGUAUUCUAAGUGGGUGAUCAAUAAGCUGACCUCAUUUUUCAGUGACAAGAAUGCAAGACAAAAAACUUACAGACCAUCCUUCAUCACCAAGAGCCUAUGAAGGUAAUACAACACAAAAAGCAUUAUUCUUCCAGCGUUUU